rnacentral:rRNA from 1 species
AACCUGGUUGAUCCUGCCAGUAGUCAUACGCUCGUCUCAGAGAUUAAGCCAUGCAUGUGUAAGUUCAAUGAUUUGACCAAAAAACUGCGAAUGGCUCAUUAUAUCAGUUAUAGUUUAUUUGAUAGUCCCUUACUACUUGGAUACCCGUAGUAAUUCUAGAGCUAAUACAUGCGUAAACACUCGACCUUUGGAAGAGUGGUAUUUAUUAGAUUGAAACCAACCCGUUUCGGCGGUGUCCUGGUGAUUCAUAAAUAUCCUUUUCGGAUUGCAUUGCAAACAUUUCAUUCCAAGUUUCCUGCCCCUAUCAGCUUUGACGGUAGUGUAUUGGACUACCGUGGC